CAACUUCGACAUCGAGCCCAGGUUCAUCCAGACGUCGGACAACUCGCUGACCAUCACCAAGACGACCGAGCUCGACUCCAAGGUGUACACGUGCGUGGCGUCCACCGAGCUGGACGAGGCGCGGGACGACGCCACGCUCAAGGUGGAGGACGUGCCUAACGCGCCGACGCUGAAGACCGUCGCUUGCAGGGAGCAGGUGGCCGAAGUGGGGG